AUGUACAUUCCUACAACAUAGUGUUAAUGCAUGGGAUCCCAUUAAAACUCCACAGUUAAGCGUGCUUGAGCUAGAGUAGUACUGGGAUGGGUGAUCGCCCGAGAAGUCCUAGUAUUUUACAUG
rfam:Picea glauca, whole genome shotgun sequence.